AAGACUAUACUUUCAGGGAUCAUUUCUAUAGUAUCCAACUAGAGAAAUGCACUCGAAAGUGAUCGGCUGAGCAAACCACGAGGAGGAGGCGUAGUGUUCUCUCCUGAGCGCGAAGCCAGCGGGCACUGCCACCUGCUAUUGAUGAACGUUCCGCCUCUUCUUUUGUGUAGAGGUUGGAGGGAGAGAACGCAGUCUGAGUGGU